UACCAGCACCCCGAGUGGUUGGGACGAUUAUUGGGCCUAAAGCAUCCGUAGCCGGUUUUACAAGUCCUCCGUUAAAUCCAGCUGCUUAACAGAUGGGCUGCGGAGGAUACUAUAAGACUAGGAGGCAGGAGGGGCAAGCGGUACUCAGUGGGUAGGGGUAAAAUCCGUUGAUCCAUUGAAGACCACCAGUGGCGAAGGCGGCUUGCCAGAAUGCGCUCGACGGUGAGGGAUGAAAGCUGGGGGAGCAAACCGG
rnacentral:rRNA from 1 species